ACCGAUAGUCUUGCAAAGGAUUCUGGG
rnacentral:piRNA from 1 species